UGAGGAAUAUUGGGCAAUGCCCGCAAGGGUGACCCAGCAACGCCGCGUGGAGGAUGAAUGUCGUAAGAUUGUAAACUCCUGUGAGAAGGGAUGAAAAUGUGAGUUUCGUAAGGGGCUCAUUUUGACCGUACCUUCAGAGGAAACCCCGGCUAACUACGUGCCAGCAGCCGCGGUAAUACGUAGGGGGUAAGCGUUGUCCGGAUUUACUGGGUGUAAAGGGCGCGUAGGCGGAUCUGUAAGUCAGUGGUGAAAUCCUACAGCUUAACUGUAGAACUGCCUUUGAUACUGCAGAUCUUGAGUUUGGAAGAGAGAGAUGGAAUUCCAGGUGUAGUGGUGAAAUACGUAGAUAUCUGGAAGAACACCAGUGGCGAAGGCGGUCUCUUGGUCCAUAACUGACGCUGAGGCGCGAAAGCGUGGGUAGCAAACA
rnacentral:rRNA from 1 species